AGGCAACAGAGAAUCCCGGACUAAUCAUAUUUGGUCCAAGGUGUAGUGCGUGGAACACUCCCGCUAAAAACACACUCUUCCCGCUCCCCACCGUCACAGUCUACUGCAAAAAGAAAUUCUCCCCGAAACUAUCUCCAGCCCUGGUCCCGUCACCCACAACACAACAUCAAACAGUGGCCAACGUUACGGGAAAAACAAACAAAAAAUCUUGACGUUUCAAAGACCUGCAACAACAGGAUCAAACGACGGAGCUUUUAGCGUUGGUCUGAAACUUGGUCCCACCACCGGCCCGCACCACAGCCGUCCUACCCACCGUCGCUCUCCGUCACAGUCGUCCCAUCCGCGACUCCUCCAGCAGUCAUGUCUCGCGGGAUGAUCAACGUGUUCCUGGUCGUGCUCGGCGUCGUUGCCCUCUCCUCCCGUUGCCCUCUCCUCCCAGGCCUGGGGCAGCUGUUCGCAGUUCGGACACUCGUGUUUUGGCGCGCACGGCAAAAGAGACGGUGACCAAUAUGCGCGCCAGGAACCCUCACCUCUUUACCCUGAGGCCAACCAGCUACCAGAAUUCGAACAGAGGCAAGAGGAUCGCCUCUCAGUGGACGAGGCAGUCACCGACCGAGAAAUCGUCGCCAACGCCCGAAACUGGCUGGCUGUCCUCAGUCACCGUCUCCGCCAGAGGACGUCACCACAGUCAUCCCCCUCCGCGCAGUCCCUCGGCUACUUCCAGUAAACACUACGUCUUCGUCGUCGAUGUCGUACCAGCUGCCUUCUCCAAAUAUACACGUCCCAUCAGCUACCCUCGACGACAGAAGAAACGACUUCUAGUUCCAGUAACAUCAUGGGAUUGUGACGUCUUGUUUUCACAUCAGAGGGAAAAACAGACAUAAAAAUGUUGACAUUGUUGCGUUGAACCCUGAACCAGGCGUCUCAGUUCCUCUAUUUAUAAAAGAUUUUUCUAAAAACUGAUGAUUAAAGUCUACAAACUGGGACAGUAACACUAAAACCAGAGGAGGUUUAUCUUAGUUAAAUUUUAAGGGAAACUCGCGACAUUGCAGCCGACGAUCAUAUGGAUAAAUAUUGUAGCAUUCUCCAUGAGUAGACUCUGGUAUGCCCUCACAACUCGCCUCACAGUUAUCACCGCUCAAGUUUUGAAAUCAGAUUUCAUUUCCCCCUUUAUUCUGUUUUUUCUCCUCUUGUUUAUCUUAGUCGAUUUUUUGUGUGUGUUAUUCCCAGGCCUGCUACCUUCACCUGAGCCUUCUAUUAUCUUUUGUCUCAUGCUAUUGACCUUUUCUAAUUGAGGCUGAACCAGAAUGAUCCCUCUUCCAUCUUCAGCACUAAUGUCCCUUUCUCCCCCCCCCUUCUCUCCCUCCUCCCAUUGUUUCAUCAGCAGCCAUGCAAAUAAUUUGUUGAAAAUCUUUUAUAAAUACUGCUAAAUUAAGUGCAUUUGGAAACAAUAGAUAAUGUACAGUAUAUUAGAAUACUAAAAAAAUUAUCAAUAUUGAAGACAACCAGCAUUAUUAAAGGUGUGAAGUUAACAAUCUCGUCCAAGGAUCAGGAGUGAAACAUGCCGCUGACAUUGAUAGCUUGAGAGAAAAGAUGUACGUCACUCCUCGUCAGCAGAGCGUAUUGUGUGUAUUGUGUGGAUGGGUGUAGGUGGUAAGAUAUCGACGUUUGAUUGUUUAGAUUGGUAGUGUUGGCUGGCAAGUUGAAGUAUCAAACAAUGGGUGUCUAUAUAAGUCAACAUCUGUGUUUGAUGUCUAUCCCUUAGUGAUCGUCAUAACGUUCCUGCCCCAGAGACCGUUUCAACGUUCCUAUCCCGUUGUCUAUGUUCCAACGUUCUUACCCCCAGUGUCUCUGUUUCAACGUCCGUGUGAAUGACCUUGUCUUAACAUGACUAUUUCAAUGUUCCUGUCCGUAAACAAUAACCUGAACGUCUCAUCGUUUGUACCCGCCAAAUAACGUGUUACUCCUUACCGGCUGUUUCCUCAACUUUCAACUAAUUUACUCACUUAGCAUAAUCUUUUAACAUAUUCUACGUACUCCACCAUAGCCCAAUUAUUAUUAUUAUUCGUUCAAUCAUUUCUCAGCUCUAUAGAUUCCUUUCCUUCUCCCUCCUUAUAAUAUAAUCCCUCGCAUUCAAAAUAAUCGAGGCUGGAGGUUUGACAAUUGUUCGACACACGGACAGCCCUACGAUUGCACAUAUCAUCUCCCCCUCACACACUCCCCUUAACACCCCUUUUCCUCUUUCUCCUUCUAUUUAUCCCACAACAUUCCCUUCUCCUUCUCUCCCUCACCACCACCGAGAAGCCGACUUACAACCACCACAACAACACAACCAUUCCACUUAUCCUAGGUCGUCUGUUAUUGUUUAGAAGUGUCCUUAUACUAAACUCUUAUUACAGUUUAUCAUCCAUCGCUCUCUAUAUAUUGAUUCUACUAUAUUUAUGACGAUUAUUGUCUUUCUCUGCAUUGUAUUGUGGUUUUAAAUCUCCAUCAAUUGUAAUGGAGGUUUUUCUUCAGUUACCUCAAUAAAAUUAUGUAAUUUCAUCUUGCCCUGAAGAUAAUUUGCACCUCAAUAUUAUUACUUUAUGUAUUUAUAUAAAUUAUUUGGUAUAUCUAAAGAGGUUAUUUAAGGUAUUUCUAUGAAUAAUUGUUUAAAUAAUUAUGAGAUGAAAUGUUAAAAGUCGACGUUUUAUUUGUUCAAUCAAUUACGUUAAAUUGUUAACAGUGGAAUUUGACUUUUGAAUUAUAUGAGGGCUUUUAGGUAUUUAUUAAUUAAAAUGUAGUGUUUAGAGUGUGACUGAAGAUGGGAGAGGGAGUUAUAGUGAAAUUAUUUCAUUUGUUUAUAUAGUGAUUGAUAUACCAAAAAGCUAACUUCUCUGGGAAAUAUCAAUGAAGCUUCUCAAAGGUAAUUAAUUAUUUUUCUUAAUUGUACUUUUAGUUUAUUGUUAUCUCUCACGCAUAAUUAUUUUUCUAAAUGUAUUUUUUGGUUAUAUCAUUGUUACUGUACUCGUCAUUCCUAAAAAUACCCCCCCCCCCCAUCCAUUAUAAGGGAAUACGCUGCGUUAUACUAGGCUACAAUAAUACUAUAAUGAUCGAGGCUAUAAUUAUACAGUAUUGUAAACAUAUCAUAGGGGCUGGACAAUACCUACUGUAUUUCACUAUGGCUGUAAUUUCAAUGUAAACCUGAUGCUGUAUUAAUAAAUCCAUCGGAAAUUUGUGGUCA